CAGAUCCCCAUCCCCCACCCCCAGCAGUGCAUUAUUAUGCAGUCACUGCUUUUGUUCCGAGUUCUGAGCCUGCUUCUAUUUGCAUCGUAACCUCUUUGGGGGCCGGGACUGUGCACUUGCUCCCUUUCUAUACCUCUCCACAGUUCCUAGUACCGGCCAAAAACACUGCUGAAAUGCCUAAUGAAUCAACCAGAAGUUCCUUAGCAUAAUAUAGGAGCGUGGAAGUGAUGUUUAGGGGGGCUUCCCUUGCUUCCCUGAUCCCCAGAUGGAGAGAAAUGGCAAUUUGCCCUUCCAAGGAGUCAGAUGGUGAAAGGGAGAGAUGUUCUUGCUGAGUUUGUUUAUGUUGUGCUUCAGAGGAUGUAAGACAAGCAGCAAAUCAGCAGAGACAAGUUAAUGUUCACCACCACAAAAGUGAAAUUAAAUAAACUGAUUG
rnacentral:lncRNA from 1 species